ensembl:lncRNA
GUUGUAUCUCCAGAGGAACAGUUAUAGUGGUGAGUUGUAUCUCCAGACAGAGGGACAGUUAUAGUGGUGAGUUGUAUCUCCAGACAUAGGAACAGUUAUAGUGGUGAGUUGUAUCUCCAGAGGAACAGUUCUAGUGGUGAGUUGUAUCGCCAGAGGAACAGUUAUAGUGGUGAGUUGUAUCGCCAGAGGAACAGUUAUAGUGGUGAGUUGUAUCCCCAGACAGAGGGACAGUUAUAGUGGUGAGUUGUAUCUCCAGAGGAACAGUUAUAGUGGUGAGUUGUAUCUCCAGACAGAGAAACAGUUAUAGUGGUGAGUUGUAUCUCCAGACAGAGAAACAGUUAUAGUGGUGAGUUGUAUCUCCAGAGGAACAGUUGUAGUGGUGAGUUGUAUCUCCAGACAGAGAAACAGUUAUAGUGGUGAGUUGUAUCUCCAGACAUAGGAACAGUUAUAGUGGUGAGUUGUAUCUCCAGACAUAGGAACAUCAUAGUGGUGAGUUGUAUCUCCAGAGGAAC